UGUCGUUAUUCCGUUAAACGCUUUUUUAAAUAUUAUAUCGAGAAAAAGGACACAAAUUUAGUUGCGCCUAUUCAUCCGACAAGCACAUGUAUGUUUUUACGCGAACAGUGACACAAUCCAAAAAGUGCUUCGAAUUCUGGAUUUUUUUUUUGUGAAUAGUGACACAUCACAGAUUACUACAGUCUUUUUGAUAUACUGUAAUAUGGAACACAAGACCCAACUCCCGAUGCAUGAUAGGACCAAACGGCUGGUGCAGAUAGCAGUUGCUAUAGAAAAGCAAGGUUCUUUCGCACAAGAAAAUGAAAAAAAUAAGCUAAAAGAAGAAACAAAAAGUAAUUUUCUUCUAAACUAUUUCUUAGAAUCUGGCAGCCAAGUUGAUAAAAGUUCUCUACCUACCGUAUUGUCAAGUACACAAGAAGAGAAGUUAAUACAGGAUCAAAAUAUACAAGAAUCUUUGACUGACAAUAUUUCUCUUUGUGCAUCUGAUGACAGUGUUAAGGAUCCACUAUUUGAAAAUGUUCAAUCGUCUUCUUCUUCUUCAUCGUCUUCAACAUUUUCCUCGGACGAGUUCUUCUUGUUCUUCAGGAUCAUCCGAUAUGAUAUUGAACGCAAAUGAGUCACAAGUAACCCCAGACAAGAUAGUUGAAGUAGAGAAUCAAAAAAGAGGCCGAAAAAGAAAAGCAAACCUUCAGGAUCAAAAAAGACAAUAGCCAGACGUUUAAGAAAUACAGGAAAAUCUUAUACUUCAAAUUCCACAAAAAAUAAAAAAGUGAUUAAUGAAAGAAGCCUUGGUCUUCCAUGUAGUAAAUGCAGGUUAAAAUGUUAUUUAAAUGUGACAGAAGAACAGCGUAAUAAUAUUUUCUUAGCUUAUUGGGGUAUGGGAGAUAUUCAAAGACAAAGAGAGUUCCUAGCUGCUAAUAUUACUGGAAUUGUGUCUAGGUAUUCAUACAGAUUAGAGCACAGUAAUCAUUCUGGUAAAAAUGCUUUUCAUUUUAUGAUUGAAGGCAGAAAAAUUCGGGUCUGCAAAUUAUUUUUUAAAUCUACUUUAGGUAUAGGUGACCAUCCAAUUAGGAACAGUCCUCAGCAAAAUGAAAAAAUUCACCAGGUGGUAUAGUGCUAUUAGAUCAGCGUGGUAAGCAUACCAAUCACAAAAAAGUUGACAGUAGUAUUAAAGAUGGCAUUCGACAACAUAUUAAUGCGAUUCCCCGGAUCGAAAGCCACUACUGCAGGGCAAAUAAUACGAGAGAAUUUAUCGAAGGUGGAAAAUCACUUGCAGAUCUACAUAGAGAUUAUGUAAAGGAUUGUAAAAGAGAAAAUAAGCCCUACGGAAAUUAUGUUAUGUAUAACCGCAUUUUUGAAAACGAAUUUAACAUCUCCUUCUUUAAACCGAAGAAAGACCAGUGCGAAGACUGUACAGCAUAUUCCAAUGUUGGGGAAACAAAAAUGCAACUUACAUCAAUGUAUGAUAAUCAUCUGAAAGAAAAAGACUUGGCAAGACAAGAAAAAGAAAGCGAUAAAAACAGUGCUGAUGAAUCCUGCGUUGUAGCAGUGUAUGAUCUGCAAGGAACCUUAGGUGGUCCAGACGGAGACGUUUCCAAUUUUUAUUAUGUCUCAAAAAUAAAUACCUUUAAUUUUACCAUCUUUAAUUUAAAAACUAAAGAUGGAGAUUGUUUUGUAUGGCAUGAGGGAGAAGGGCAGAGUGGGGUUAACGAAAUCAGUUCAUGUGUAUAAAUUUUCUUAAAAAACCUCGAAAAAACUGUUGAACCUGGAAAAAAAAUUGAUGUAAUCUUAUAUUCGGACAACUGUUGUGGGCAGCAAAAGAAUCAAUUUAUGAUUAGCAUGUAUAAGUUUGCGGUAUCAAAAUUUGAGUUUUUAAACUCAAUUACACAUAAAUUCCUAAUUAAAGGCCACACAGUAAAUGAAGGAGAUAGUAUGCACUCAGUGAUUGAGAGAAGUAUUAGCAGAAAUUUAAAAUCCGGACCUAUAUUUACUCCUGACCAGUAUGUUAAUAUAAUUCGAAAUGUAAAAAAAAAUAAACAGGCUUUACAAAGUACAUGAAAUGAGCCACGAUUCCUUUUAUGACAUAAAAAAUCUUUCUGAACAAUUGGGAAACCUAUUUAAAAUUACCAAAAAUGAGACUUUUAAAAUAACAGAAGCAAAAAUAAUUAGAGUUGAAAACCAAAAUCCUGGAACACUUUUUUAUAAAAAUUCAUUUAGUGACCAAGAAUAUAAAAACAUCGAAGUUGGCAAAAAAAACUACACGAUCAAAAAAUAACAGCUGUAAAUCUACUACUAUUUAUUAUUAUUGCCACUACUAUGGCUACCACUACUACAGGCUUAUAAAAAGAAAAUGGCCGUUUCUGAGAAAAAAAAAUUAGCUUUGCUUAAUUUAAUUAAUAAAAGCAUAAUUCCCAAAUUCUAUGAAAACUUUUAUAAAGACCUUUAGAUAUUAAGUUUU